rnacentral:tRNA from 76 species
ACGACCGUAGCUCAGUUGGUUAGAGCACUACCUUGACAUGGUAGGGGUCGGUGGUUCGAAUCCACUCGGUCGUACCA